rnacentral:sRNA from 1 species
AUGCAAGAUUUCAGACCUUUGAUGGCAUACAUGUCUAAAAGUCUCUCUGGGGAUUUAGAUGUUUAGAUAUGGUUUAAGGAAAUAGGAAUAUUAGUUCAAAAUAUUGAAUAUUUAUACAUUGUUGGUACGCGUGUAAAACAUAGUGCAUAAUAUUAUAUCUUCCGCCAUUGUACAGACAAGAAGGACGAGCAGUGGUAGGGAAUACAUACAGUGACGAAAUUGGGACGCAUUUGCGAUUACAUGUGUUAUACUUAAGUGAAGUGAAUAUUUUUGGAUUAUUCUGUGCUGGAAGUACUAGAAGAUACUUUUUAAAUCGUUUAGAACACGUUUUAAUUCAUAAAUUGCCAGUAGUUUCGAUUAAUGUUUUUAUAGUCUGUUCCAUAGUUUUGAAUCGGUGUUUUGUUAAAAAGUCGGAUUCUUAGCACUAUUUGUGAGGCUGUGAAAGCAGCCUCUGCAAUGAAAGUUUGUGGCUUUUGAAACCAAGAAUAAUGAGUUUCACAAGUGAUGAGGUCAACUUUCUGGUUUACAGAUACCUUCAGGAGUCGGGAUUUGUGCACUCUGCGUACACAUUUGGAAUUGAGAGCCACAUCAGUCAGUCCAACAUCAAUGGAGCCUUGGUUCCACCUGCUGCUCUCCUCAACAUCAUCAUGAAAGGCCUGCAGUACACAGAGGCUGAAAUCAGCAUUGGAGAGGAUGGAGCUCAGGCAAAAAACAUAGAAGCUUUGACUUUGAUAGAUGCGGUGAUGCCUGAUGUUGUGGAGUCUAAAGAAACAAGCAGCUCAACCUGCUCCUAAAAUCAAGACGGAACCUGCCAGCACUAACGGUGAAGAGGCUACGCCUGCAGAAAUCGCGAAUCACACUGAUGCUAUGGAAGUGGAAGUUGGACAAGAGAUUCCCACAAACAAAGCUACAGUUUUACGAGGACAUGAGUCAGAAGUUUUCAUAUGUGCAUGGAAUCCCACCAAUGAUCUACUGGCAUCAGGAUCUGGGGAUUCGACCGCGAGGAUUUGGAACAUGAAUGACAACAGUUGCUACAGUGCGAAUCAGUUAGUCCUCCGACAUUGUAUUCAGAAAGGAGGUACAGAAGUCCCUAGUAACAAAGAUGUCACCUCUCUAGACUGGAACUGUGAAGGGACUUUACUGGCUACAGGGUCUUACGAUGGUUAUGCCAGAAUAUGGAGUACAGAAGGAAGACUAGUGAACACAUUAGGGCAACACAAAGGACCAAUUUUUGCUCUGAAGUGGAAUAAACGAGGAAAUUAUAUUCUAAGUGCAGGUGUAGACAAGACCACAAUAAUCUGGGAUGCUAGCUCAGGAAAUUGUACACAGCAAUUCGCAUUUCAUUCUGCCCCCGCGCUGGACGUGGAUUGGCAGAGUAAUGCUACAUUUGCAUCCUGCUCUACCGACCAAUGCAUCCAUGUGUGUAGGCUAGGAAUGGAGCGUCCAAUGAAAACAUUCCAAGGACAUACAAAUGAAGUUAAUGCCAUCAAAUGGGAUCCACAAGGUCAACUUCUUGCCUCGUGCUCAGAUGAUAUGACAUUAAAAAUAUGGAGUAUGAGACAGGAUCCUUGUGUGCAUGAUCUCCAGGCCCAUAGUAAAGAAAUCUACACAAUCAAAUGGAGCCCCACCGGGCCCGGCACAAACAACCCCAAUGUACCGCUCAUACUGUCCAGUGCAUCUUUUGACUCGACAGUGAGGUUAUGGGAGGUAGAACAGGGUCGUUGUCUCCACACCCUGACCAAACACCAAGAGCCCGUCUACAGUGUGGCCUUCAGUCCCGACGGCAAAUACCUGGCCAGUGGAUCCUUCGACAAGUGUGUCCAUAUCUGGAAUGUUCAGAGUGGACAGUUAGUGCAUAGUUACCGAGGGACAGGUGGAAUAUUUGAGGUGUGCUGGAAUCAUCGGGGUGACAAAGUAGGAGCCAGUGCAUCAGAUGGAUCAGUGUUCGUCCUAGACUUGCGAAAAUGAUAUUCCACAGUUAACCUUGAGACGUUCUUGAGUUAAAUAUUGUUUGUCUGUGAUAUGUGUUGAUGGUGUGCAGUUGAUAGACCAUUGUCCUGCCUUCUGAAGGCACCAGCCAGCCCCAGAGAGAGGCUCAGAGCCCCGCCCACAUCAUUACAGCACCGUGUCACACCCAAGCUGUCCAAUGCUUCCCUCUCAAGCAUUCAGUCCACUGACCAAUAUAGAGGAAGGGAAAGAUGACAAGAUCGUAUUGUGAAGAAACUACAUAUUGUUCACAUUACAUGUGUGUGUAUAUAUAUAUACUAAUAGGUCUAUAUUAGUUUUCAUGGGAAAAUUGUUAAAGUAAUAUUGAUCUCAGGUGUGUAAGUGUUUGUGUAUAAGUGUUUUGAUUUGAGUGUUGUCAUCUUUCCACCUCACAGAAAGUGCUACUUUUAUACUAAUAUACAAAAAAGAAAAAAAAAAUUCAUGUUAUUAAUUUUGUUGCUUUAGAACUUGGGAAAAAUGACGAAUUGAAAUGGCUUUUUUUACUGUCAGAAAAGGUAUACAAAGGCUGUAUUUUAAACUAUACUAGUAUUUGGUUUUUGUUUUCUUGAGACAUUAACACCACAUCUUGUUUAUCAUAAACAAAAGGUUUUGAACAAUAACAAAUAACUAGGUGUGCAUUAUUGAUACGCCUUUGUUCAAAAGCUGUAUUUCACAAGAUGACUGGUUUUAUGGAGAUGGCAGCUAUGUCAUUUUUAGUUCUUUAUGUAGUCAUUAUUUGUAUUCUUGUACCAAAAAUAAAAACAUGCAGAAAAUAGAUAAUUACAGUAUGAGUAAAUAGAUUUAAAAGUUUUAUGGAAUUAAAAAAAUUAAAAAGUUGUACGUGUAUUUUAAUUCUGUAUGAACCUUAUUUUUAUUCUGUAUGAACCUAAAAAUUAUCUGGUGAUAUCAUUAAAACUAUGUCUGUAUCUUUUUAGAGAAGGUAAAAAUUGAGUAAAUCUUUAAUAAUUUGAUCAUGCCAGUGUUUAUUAAAACUCUGUGCCAAGCUUUGGUAUGUACCUGUAGAAAUAUUUAAUACAAAGUGGUAGUUGUUGCCCUGAUAAAAGAUAUCACUCUGUACUGUGUGCAUGAAUCUUGUUAUUGUAGAUCAUGUAUGUACUAGGGCGUUUCAUUUGUCAAAUACAGAGACAAUUUGUCAACAU